rnacentral:tRNA from 1 species
GGGGAUUUAGCGCAGUGGUAGAGCGCUUGCCUAUUAGGCAAGCGCAAGGCCCUGGGUUCAGUCCCCA